rnacentral:rRNA from 1 species
ACACAUGCAAGUCGAACGAAACACCUUAUCUGAUUUUCUUCGGAACUGAAGAUUUGGUGAUUGAGUGGCGGACGGGUGAGUAACGCGUGGGUAACCUGCCCUGUACAGGGGGAUAACAGUCAGAAAUGACUGCUAAUACCGCAUAAGACCACAGCACCGCAUGGUGCAGGGGUAAAAACUCCGGUGGUACAGGAUGGACCCGCGUCUGAUUAGCUGGUUGGUGAGGUAACGGCUCACCAAGGCGACGAUCAGUAGCCGGCUUGAGAGAGUGAACGGCCACAUUGGGACUGAGACACGGCCCAAACUCCUACGGGAGGCAGCAGUGGGGAAUAUUGCACAAUGGGGGAAACCCUGAUGCAGCGACGCCGCGUGAGUGAAGAAGUAUUUCGGUAUGUAAAGCUCUAUCAGCAGGGAAGAAAAUGACGGUACCUGACUAAGAAGCCCCGGCUAACUACGUGCCAGCAGCCGCGGUAAUACGUAGGGGGCAAGCGUUAUCCGGAAUUACUGGGUGUAAAGGGUGCGUAGGUGGUAUGGCAAGUCAGAAGUGAAAACCCAGGGCUUAACUCUGGGACUGCUUUUGAAACUG